UUUGAGGUAGUUUAUGUAAAAUGAAGCUUUGAAAGAGCUUUGAAAGAGGGUUCUCAUGUGCUUCUCCUUAAAG
rnacentral:tRNA from 1 species